AUUGAACGCUGGCGGAAUGCUUUACACAUGCAAGUCGAACGGCAGCACGGACUUCGGUCUGGUGGCGAGUGGCGAACGGGUGAGUAAUGUAUCGGAACGUGCCCAGUCGUGGGGGAUAACGUAGUGAAAAUUACGCUAAUACCGCAUACGAUCUAUGGAUGAAAGCGGGGGAUCGCAAGACCUCGCGCGAUUGGAGCGGCCGAUAUCAGAUUAGGUAGUUGGUGGGGUAAAGGCCCACCAAGCCAACGAUCUGUAGCUGGUCUGAGAGGACGAACAGACACACUGGAAGUGGGACACGGGCGAGACUCCUACGGGAGGCAGCAGUGGGGAAUUUUGGACAAUGGGCGAAAGCCUGGUCCAGCCAUUCCGCGUGCAGGAUGAAGGCCCUCGGGUUGUAAACUGCUUUUGUACAGAACGAAAAGGUUUCUACUAAUACUAGGAGCUCAUGACGGUACUGUAAGAAUAAGCACCGGCUAACUACGUGCCAGCCGCCGCCGUAA
rnacentral:rRNA from 1 species